GGAAAUGGGCUGGGAAGCGCCGGGAUCCGGCGGGGACACUGCUGUCCCAGCUGGCCCUGCUGCGGUGCCUGGGCAUCCCUGCUGAGUCUCCUGGCAUGAGGUGGCUUUGGGUCGUGGCUUUGGUGGCACCCGCCUGCACUGUCCCCUACAACGGCACGGCAGGGAGCACUGGGGAUGGGGACAACGGGGACAGAGCCCCCUGCACCCCUCAGCACGGCUCCCCGGGCACUGAGGUGC
rnacentral:lncRNA from 1 species